rnacentral:rRNA from 1 species
GACGAACGCUGGCGGCGUGCCUAAUACAUGCAAGUAGAACGCUGAAGGAGGAGCUUGCUCUUCUGGAAGAGUUGCGAACGGGUGAGUAACCCGUAGGUAACCUGCCUGGUAGCGGGGGAUAACUAUUGGAAACGAUAGCUAAUACCGCAUAAGAGUAGAUGUUGCAUGACAUUUGCUUAAAAGGUGCAAUUGCAUCACUACCAGAUGGACCUGCGUUGUAUUAGCUAGUUGGUGGGGUAACGGCUCACCAAGGCGACGAUACAUAGCCGACCUGAGAGGGUGGUCGGCCCCACUGGGACUGGGACACGGCCCAGACUCCUACGGGAGGCAGCAGUAGGGAAACUUCGGCAAUGGACGGAAGUCUGACCGAGCAACGCCGGGUGAGGGAAGAAAGUUUUCGGGUCGUAAAGCUCUGUUGUAAGGGGAGAACGAGUGGGAGGGUGGAACGUUCACACUGUGACGGUACCUUACCAGAAAGGGACGGCUAACUACGUG